UACGUAGGGUGCAAGCGUUGUCCGGAAUUAUUGGGCGUAAAGGGCUCGUAGGCGGUCCAUCGCGUCGGGAGUGAAAAGCUGGGCUUAACCCCAGUCCUGCUUCCGAUACGGUGGACUAGAGGUAGGUAGGGAGAACGGAAUUCCUGGUGUAGCGGUGAAAUGCGCAGAUAUCAGGAGGAACACCGGUGGCGAAGGCGGGUCUCUGGGCCGAUACUGACGCUGAGGAGCGAAAGCGUGGGAGCAAACAGG
rnacentral:rRNA from 1 species